CACACGACUCUCGGCAACGGAUAUCUCAGCUUUCGCAUCGAUGAAGAACGUAGCGAAAUGCGAUACCUGGGGUGAAUUGCAGAAUCCGGCGAACCAUCGUGUCUUUGAACGCAAGUUGCGCCCGAGGCCACUCGACCGAGGGCAUGCCUGCCUGGGCGUCACGC
rnacentral:rRNA from 1 species